rnacentral:rRNA from 1 species
AUUGAACGCUGGCGGCAGGCCUAACACAUGCAAGUCGAGCGGAUGAAGGGAGCUUGCUCCUGGAUUCAGCGGCGGACGGGUGAGUAAUGCCUAGGAAUCUGCCUGGUAGUGGGGGAUAACGUCCGGAAACGGGCGCUAAUACCGCAUACGUCCUGAGGGAGAAAGUGGGGGAUCUUCGGACCUCACGCUAUCAGAUGAGCCUAGGUCGGAUUGGCUAGUUGGUGGGUUAAGGGCCUACCAAGGCGACGAUCCGUAACUGGUCUGAGAGGAUGAUCAGUCACACUGGAACUGAGACACGGUCCAGACUCCUACGGGAGGCAGCAGUGGGGAAUAUUGGACAAUGGGCGAAAGCCUGAUCCAGCCAUGCCGCGUGUGUGAAGAAGGUCUUCGGAUUGUAAAGCACUUUAAGUUGGGAGGAAGGGCAGUAAGUUAAUACCUUGCUGUUUUGACGUUACCAACAGAAUAAGCACCGGCUAACUUCGUG